CAUUCCAUAUAUAAUGUUAAUUGCUAACAGAAUUUGUGGCUAAUCACAACAACUAAUCAUUCUUUCACAAUCAUAUUUCACAAAAAAAACCAUAACAGAAAAUCGGAAGCAAUCUCUCAUCUCUCUCAUUUUUUGCUCUAAACUUCCAUAAACAUUUUUGAUGAUCUUCACCAAGAUUCCAUGGAUUUUGUGCGAAUUUCCUGUUGAUUUACAAUGUGCAGGUACUACUGAGCUUCUGUUGAGCAAGAUCGAAGCAAGAUCGCAGCUAACUCUUGCUGUUGCAAAAUUCUGAAUAUCCAUAACAGUUGAUUGUUCUUGAGUAUUUGCGCAUCCUUGAGCUGGAACUCCUUCGCCUAUCACCUUGCACGAAGCUAUUUUCCAUCUGUUUCGCGAUUCGAAGCUCAAUCGCACGGUUCCGCCGGUACUGCACUCAAGAAGGUGAAAGAUUCGUUUAUCACCGUUUGUCAAAUUGAGUUAGGAAUUGUGUAGAACAUCUAUUGUAGAUUAGGCAUCAGCUUGUAGAAUUGAGAAUUGUUAGAGAUUGACCGAGAUAUUCGUAAUUUAAGUUUCGAAGCGUUUCUUUCUUUCGCUCGAUUCGCACUGCAUGUUAAUUGUUAGAGGAAAUAGCUUGUGUAUUCGUAUUCCUGAUGAGAAGCCGGUUCCAUCGGUGCAUAAUUUGUGGAUUUCCGUUGCGAUUGGCCAAAACCUAAAAUCCUGGGCGAAGACCAUUGAAGAAGGCGAUGAACUUCAUGAGCUUUCUGGGAAAAUGCUGUGUAGAUC
rnacentral:lncRNA from 1 species